CCCUGCCAUUUGUACACACCGCCCGUCGCUACUACCGAUUGAAUGGCUUAGUGAGACCUCCGGAUUGGCGUCUUGAUGAAGGCAACUUCGACUUGAUGCUGAAAAGCUGGUCAAACUUGGUCAUUUAGAGGAAGUAAAAGUCGUAACAAG
rnacentral:rRNA from 1 species